rnacentral:rRNA from 1 species
UCGAGAAUUUUUCACAAUGGGCGCAAGCCUGAUGGAGCGACGCCGCGUGGGGGAUGAAGGGCUUCGGCUCGUAAACCCCUGUCAUUUGCGAACAAGGCUUACGACUUAAUACGUCGUAAGUUGAUAGUAGCGAAAGAGGAAGGGACGGCUAACUCUGUGCCAGCAGCCGCGGUAAUACAGAGGUCCCAAGCGUUGUUCGGAUUUACUGGGCGUAAAGGGUGCGUAGGUGGUAGGGUAAGUCUGAUGUGAAAUCUCCGGGCUCAACUCGGAAAUGGCAUUGGAAACUACCUUGCUCGAGGGUUGGAGGGGGGACUGGAAUGCUCGGUGUAGCAGUGAAAUGCGUAGAUAUCGAGCGGAACACCAGUGGCGAAGGCGAGUCCCUGGACAACUCCUGACACUGAGGCACGAAAGCUAGGGGAGCAAACAGGAUUAGAUACCCGCGUAGUCC